rnacentral:rRNA from 1 species
CAUGAGAGCUUGCUCUUGAUGACGAGUGGCGCACGGGUGCGUAACGCGUAUGCAAUCUACCUAUAACUGAGGAAUAGCCCAGAGAAAUUUGGAUUAAUACCUCAUAAUAAUAUUUUUUGGCAUCAUUUAAUAUUUAAAACUCCGGUGGUUAUAGAUGAGCAUGCGUUCUAUUAGUUAGUUGGUGAGGUAAGAGCUCACCAAGACUUCGAUAGAUAGGGGGCCUGAAAGGGUGAUCCCCCACACUGGUACUGAGACACGGACCAGACUCCUACGGGAGGCAGCAGUGAGGAAUAUUGCACAAUGGAGGAAACUCUGAUGCAGCCAUGCCGCGUGCAGGACGAAUGCCCUAUGGGUUGUAAACUGCUUUUUUACAAGAAGAAACCUUGGUACGUGUACCAACUUGACGGUAUUGUAAGAAUAAGCACCGGCUAACUCCGUGCCAGCAGCCGCGGUAAUACGGAGGGUGCAAGCGUUAUCCGGAUUUAUUAGGUUUAAAGGGUUCGCAGGCGGAAUUUUAAGUCAGUGGUGAAAGCCUAUAGCUCAACUAUAGAACUGCCACUGAUACUGAUAUUCUUGAGUAUAGAUGAAGUGGGCGGAAUAUGUCAUGUAGCGGUGAAAUGCAUAGAUAUGACAUGGAACACCAAUUGCGAAGGCAGCUCACUAAACUAUUACUGACGCUCAUGAACGAAAGCAUGGGGAGCGAACAGGAUUAGAUACCCUGGUAGUCCAUGCUGUAAACUAUGAUCACUAGAUGUUGGCGAUAUACUGUCAGUG